rnacentral:rRNA from 1 species
UACGUAGGGGGCAAGCGUUGUCCGGAAUCAUUGGGCGUAAAGAGCGUGUAGGCGGCCAGAAAAGUCCGCUGUGAAAACUCGAGGCUCAACUUCGAGCUGUCGGUGGAAACUUUCUGGCUAGAGUCCGGAAGAGGAGAAUGGAAUUCCUGGUGUAGCGGUGAAAUGCGCGGAUAUCAGGAAGAACACCCGUGGCGAAGGCGGCUCUCUGGGACGGUACUGACGCUGAGACGCGAAAGCGUGGGGAGCGAACAGG